GCUGAGAGCUUCAGGGAGGAGCUGAGCUGUUACUGAACUAUAGAAGAGACACAAACUUCCACAUUCAACACAGUUCAAACAUUAACUCUGAUCAUCAUGGACUAUUAUGGACUUUCUCUGCUGGUCGCCUCACUGCUAACAGGAAUCCGCUGUGAAGGACUGACUGCGGUUAAAACAGAGAUCUCCAGCUUAGAGGGCAGCUCUGUCACUCUGUCCUAUAAUUAUCCCAACCUGCGAUCUGGAGAUUAUUUCUUCUGGUACCGUCAGUAUCCAGGAGAACCUCCAGAGUUUCUGAUCUCUCAUGGUGAUAAAGGAAAUGUUAUAGCAAAGGUGAUUUCCAAACUUCAGAUUCACAUAGAAAACAAACGCCUGGACCUGCUGAUCUCCUCUGCUGCAGUGACAGACUCUGCUGUGUACUACUGUGCUGUGAGGCCCACAGUGACAGGAAACACCAGAACUCUGUACAAGAACCUGCAAUACUCCACUACAUCCACUAGAGGGCCUCACACACUGUUCCUCCUCUAUGGUUUGUUAGGAUUCAGUCUGAUUGUUUGUGCAGCUGAGAAUAAAGCAGACAUCAGAGUGUUUGCUGCAUCAUUGAGCUCUUUAUGA